CACGGAGUUAGCCGAUGCUUAUUCGUAAGGUACCGUCAUCAAAGUACACGUACCCCUUAUUCUUCCCUUACAAAAGCAGUUUACAAUCCAUAGGACCUUCAUCCUGCACGCGGCAUGGCUGGAUCAGUCUUCCGACCAUUGUCCAAUAUUCCUCACUGCUGCCUCCCGUAGGAGUCUGGUCCGUAUCUCAGUACCAGUGUGGGGGACAUCCCUCUCAGAACCCCUAUCUAUCGUCGCCUUGGGGAGCCGUUACCUCUCCAACUAGCUAAUAGAACGCAUACUCAUCUUUCACCACCGUAGCUUUAAUAUAAAAACGAUGCCGCUCUUAUAUACCAUUAGGUAUUAAUCCAAAUUUCUUCGGGCUAUCCCUAUGUGAAAGGCAGAUUGUAUACGCGUUACGCACCCGUGCGCCGGUUUCAGUUACCCGAAGGUAACCUCUCCCUCGACUUGCAUGUGUUAGGCCUGCCGCUAGCGUUCAUCCUGAGCCAGGAUCAAACUCU
rnacentral:rRNA from 1 species